ACUUCCGGGGCCCGCGUCCCCCGGCGGCUUCGCCGAGAAGGGGCUUUGGGAGCUUAAGGGCGCCGGCACGCGUUCCCCUGGCGCAGAGCUCGCUAGCCGGGGCGCGGGCUGCCUCCUUGUUCUGGUGUGAUCCGAAUGUAACGGAGCGGACUUUGGGAUCCAGAACCCCGGACUGAGGAAGAUUCUCUGGGAGAGGAGGAUCUGAGAGAAAAGAAGGGCUGAAAAGUGUGGGACAUCAGAACCACUAACUCUUGCAUGAGAGAACAAGAGUGAAGAGUGUGUGCUCCAUAGUAACAGAGUUGGACAUGAAGAUUCCUCCAUCAUGGGUUUGGUUAGUGGUUUUUCCACUUGGAGAUGAUAGGUUUCAGGAGAAAAGCUUUUCUAUGGUA
rnacentral:lncRNA from 1 species